rnacentral:rRNA from 1 species
GCCGGGCAAGACCGGUGCCAGCCGCCGCGGUAACACCGGCGGCUCGAGUGGUAACCGUUAUUAUUGGGUCUAAAGGGUCUGUAGCCGGCCGGAUAAGUCUCUUGAGAAAUCUGGCAGCUUAACUGUCAGGCUUUCAGGAGAUACUGUCUGGCUCGAGGCCGGGAGAGGUGAGAGGUACUUCAGGGGUAGGGGUGAAAUCUUGUAAUCCUUGAAGGACCACCAGUGGCGAAGGCGUCUCACCAGAACGGACCUGACGGCAAGGGACGAAAGCUAGGGGCACGAACCGGAUUAGAUACCCGGGUAGUCCUAGCCGUAAACGAUACUCGCUAGGUGUCGGCCACGGUGCGACCGUUGUCGGUGCCGUAGGGAAGCCGUGAAGCGAGC